UGAAUAAAAUGUCUGAAGAAAUAUCGUUUCACACGACCUACCGGAUGAGUCUAAAAUUAGUCGUUAACCAAGAUUCAAUCUUUGAUACACCUAGAAAACAUAAACUAAGAGAAAAGUUAAAAAAAAGGAACUUUAUUUAAAAAAAAUGUAAAAAAAUUAAAUCAUUACAGCAAAGAGUUAGACGUCUUUAAAACAGGAACUUGCCCUUCAGAGGAAUCAUCAAUUACUUAAAAACGCAAUUUUUAUUGAUACAUUUAUAUAAUUCAUUAAAUCAAAACAUGGCUGCAAUAGAUUUAUUUAACAAUUUGAAGCAAAAAAAGGAGUAAAUAUAUUUAAAACUAUAAACAGAUUUUUAUUUUCGCAUACCCAUUUUACCUAUAUUAAAUUAAUUGUAUUUAAUCCCAUUUAAUAAAAUUUUCAGGGACUUUUUUUAAAAAGUGUCAACACUUCACUCACUCACACAUAUUUAAAAAAGUGGCUUCACUUUUUUGUUCUAAGUGCGUUAUCUAUUUUUUUUUACUUGAUCUAUGGUUUGACAGCGGUAAAUAACUU
rnacentral:misc_RNA from 1 species